UACAGAGGGUGCAAACGUUGCUCGGAAUUAUUGGGCGUAAAGCGCAUGUAGGCGGCAUAGUAAGUUCACUGUGAAAGCCCUUGGCUCAACCAAGGAAGUGCAGUGAAAACUGCUAAGCUCGAGUUCUGAAGAGGGUCGCGGAAUGGCCAGUGUAGAGGUGAAAUUCGUAGAUAUUGGCUAGAACACCAGUGGCGAAGGCGGCGACCUGGUAAGAUACUGCCGCUGAGAUGCGAAAGCGUGGGGAGCAAACAGA
rnacentral:rRNA from 1 species